rnacentral:lncRNA from 1 species
UUAACUUCAUUACGUAUUACGUCUACUGCUAAUGACAUAAAAAAAAUUAUGUUUAUACAUUAAACUUAAUUGAGAAAUAAAACAUGGUGAAAUACUGGACGAUGAUAAUAAAAUUGAUUCUACAGUGGUCUGGUUAAUCUCCAUUUGCAUAAAUUCUAUAAGUUUAGAAUUCAAAUAAGUAAGUCAUAUUAAUUGUAAUUAUUAUUUGAAAAUAUUUAAGCUACAUAUUUGAAUUAUUUAAUAUUGUACCUUGUUUGACGUUUAUAUACAAGUUUAUUUUGAAUGAUCCUGUACAAGAGAUCAGUGGUUUUGCAAGGUGUUAUGUAUAUGUGUGACUGUAUGUGUGAAUCGUACAGGAGUGUUUACUCGUAGUAGUUAACGAAGUUAUAUGAUGUUUAUACUCGUGUUUAUAAAACUGUCAGGUCUUACGAGAUAUCAGUGUGUAUAUACCGGGUGAAUUGAAAAGUACGAUGACCGUAACUUUAUCGAGUAAGCUAAAAUACUCGCGGUACCUGUGCAUAAGACAUUCACGGUUCACGAAAGUAUGAUGAGAUUGUUCUUUGAGUGAUAUGGAUGAGUUGGUAUUAAGAUGAAUGACAGCUAGAAAAAGUCUGAAUGUUACAAACUUGAAUGACCGUAAGAAAAAACUUUAUUUGCACGUGCAUCUAUUAAAAUAGUUUGAUGUAACAGCCACGAGGUUUGAAUUCAUUGAUAAAUGAGAUUGCUCGUUAUUGAUUUGUUUAUCGAUUUUUCAGAUUGAUUUUAACAUAAGUGAGGACAAGUAAGCACAAAGAUCAAUCAAGUGUGAACGGGAAUUUGAAACAAUAUUAUUAAAAUAUUUGUUGUUAAUGUACACUUCAUUUAUAAAUCAUUAUUUUUGUAAUAUUCUAUAGGAUACUUUUGUACACAUGCUAUAUGAUGUAUUCGCUUUGAAAGAAUGCUUAUGACUGAAGCAUUAAAAGCAAUACAAUGUUAUUUUAUGUUAGUGUUAGAUAAAGGGGUGUGGUUAUUAAUGAA